AGUAGGAGCCCAGCACAUGUUUCCUGGGUGUUGCACAUAGUACUAGGCACCGGCUCCAGCACCCCUGGGAGGAUUGCGGGAAGUCCCGGGAACCAGCUCCUGGAGGGGCCCCUGGAGCUCCCAGCAGGAGGGGGUCUCCGCGCUGAGCACACGUCCCUCUCGGGGGUACUUACCAGCGAGCCUCUCCUCCAAGGUGACAUCAGCGCCCAGGGGCACCUCGUCCCGCAUCCCUCCUCCACCCACACUACAUCUCCGGUCCCGCAGCCCGACCUGUCUUCUCAGCAGGCAGCAGCCCCGCAGCGUCCCCGCCGGAGGUCGCCCCGGCUCCCCGCCCCCGGGGCCAGGCUCCGCGCCCGCCCUGCGUUCCGGGGCGCCCACUCUCCCCGCCCCCGGCCGACCUCGGCCCCCCCGCCCCGGGCCCCCGCACAGCCGCGAGCAGGGCGGGCGGCGCCAAGGCCCCGGGAGCGCGGAGCCCCGGCACCUCGGGCGCCCCCGGAGCGCGGCGGGCCCGCAGCGAGAGGUGCCGCUUCCCGACCCGGGCGACACGCGGCCGCGGGCCGUCCACCUGCUCCGGGGGCUCGCGACCCCGGCCGUCCCCCCGGGCUGCUCCGCCCCAGCCUCGCCCCAAGGGCACGGGGCACCGCAAAGGCCGGCGCGGGGCGGCGGGGGCGGCGGGGGCGGCGGCAGCUCCGCCAGCGGGGGCGGCCUCGCGGGGCGCGCGAGACGGACCCUCCCCGACUGGGGCGGGCGGGGCAUCGUCGCCCACCGGGCGCGGCCGCUCACCUGCCUGCAGUCCCGGAGGCCGGCGGCGCAGCCCCGAGCGGGAGGAGCCGCCCCCGGCCCGCCGAGCCGCCGCGUCCCGGAGCGAGCCGAGCCGGCGCCGAGGCAGCUGCAGCUCCGCCGGCGCCGAGGCCCCGCCCCGCCCCCAGGGCCUGGCCCCACCCCCGGGGCGGAGCCUGCGCGCUCCCCGAGGCCCCGCCCCGCCCCCAGGGCCUGCCCCACCCCCGGGGCGGAGCCUGCGCGCUCCCCGAGGCCCCGCCCCGCCCCGCCCGGCACGUGACCGCAGCCCCGCGGCGCCCGCGCCAUCUUGGCCGCGCCUGGGGAGCCGCCCCGCCCGCCCCGCCCGCCCCGCCCGCCCCGCCCGCGCCGCGCCGCGUCGCGUCGCCGCAGCUGCUCCUUGCGGCGUGGACACCCGCCCUGCGCCCUCGGGGCCCUGGCAGCCGGCGGCACCCGGCGGCACCCGGCGGCACCCGCGCCGCGCUCCCGGAACACGCGCCCCCCGUGGCCGCAGGUCGCCCCGCAUCGCGCCGUCCGCGGCCGGAACGCAGGGUCCCCUCAGGCCGCCUCAGGCCGCGACGAGCCGGGGGCGCCGCUCCGACGCCAGGAGCCCGCGCACGCCCCGCGUCCCCCGCGGCCUCCCCCUGCUUCCCCCGCGCGGUCCGCACCUGGCGCGUCUCCGGGAGAAGGCGGGGCGGUCCGAGACGUUGUCAUCUAGGAGGAGGUGAGAAAUGA
rnacentral:lncRNA from 1 species